CCAAAAUUUGUUGAAUUUGCUUCAAUCUUUUUUUCAUAAGUUUUCCUUAAAAGCAACAUUAUAAAAGCACUUAAUGUCUGUCAGGAACUGUCGUUAGUAAUUAAUUCCUUGGCCUCAUAAAAUCUAAAAAACGGUCAAAAAAUAGAGCAGCACAAAUUUUUAUCUUCUCCCACUCCCUGCAAGGGUGGUUCUCUACCCUUUCAACUCAGGUGCAUCAGGUCCUCCUCCAACACCCCUGACAGGUGUGACUGACCCUGACUUUAAUUAGACAGUUAAGAGGCGAUCCAGUCCAAAAGCAGCCGGGAAAACAGCCAAUACCGUCUGUACUUAGACACUCCCUCACCCCUCCCCUGCAUUUUACCUUCUUUGCCUUUAGCUUCUGAGGCAUAGCUAUCCUACACAGUCUCCCAUUUUCUCAGCAAAUGCCCUCCAGCCGUGAACUCAACAUUCACAGACUUGCUCUAAUUAUUCGAUUGUGAAGUUUUUGCAGAUAAUUCCCCACAGGUGACAAACGUUCCAUUAGGUCUGCCCAGUGAGCAGACGGAUAAGUCACUCUGACAAGCACCGAACGUUCGCCCAAUGAAUGGAUGGGGGACCCAAGUUCAGUUCCCAGUACCGUGUCGGGCAGCCCCCCACCUGUGUUCUCUCACCUCUGACAUCCUCAGGCGCCUGCAGUCGCUUGCACGUACCUCCACAUAAACACAGACAAGUAGAUGCAAUCCAAGCUGGACUGCUACCAGAGGACCCCCUCCCCGGGAUACUUUGGGUA